ACAUGGAAAUCAAAAUGACAUGGUCACCGUAAAGUUGUGUCCAUGACGCCUGAACGCCACCAAGCCAGCAGCGACAUCGCCGCUCCACUCAUUUUCUUCUUCAUCCUCGCUUUGCACCUCCUCACCCAAUUCCUCGGACAUAUUAAAAAGAGAGGAUCACAGAAUAUCGAACUGAUUAAACUGCGACAAGAGAUUAAGCAACUUUUGAAAGAAGCAAGUUCUUUAUUGGUGCCAUCUACAUUUGCAAAAGCUGCAAAGCUUAGACGGGUUGCGGCAGAGAAGGAGAAAGAACUUUUAAGGAUCCAGAAAUCACAAGAAAAGGACAAGCUAUGGGCUUUUGAUUUCUAUUUAGGAUCUCUACAGAUUGUAAAGUGGGAACCUGAAAUCUUUCAGACAUGUGCAUAUUUUGGGCUCAUUUGGUGGUUCUGGGGUGUCCCCGUUGCAGUCAUUUCUCGCCAACUUUUGGAUCCCUUUGGUAGGCUGCUGUCAUGGAAAGCUGGAGACUCUACAAGUAACCAAAUUAAGGUUGGGAUCAUACCAUGGUUAAUAUUAACAUCUAGGGUCAGUACCUUCCUCUGUCAAAAGGUCUCAUCAGCUGGACAUCAAAAGUCUUGAGAUCAUCUUCGCAGCAAUAUGGGGCUCAUCAAGUCAACCCUCGAUUUGUUUGGGGUUUUUGAUCCUUGUAUUUCUUUUUCUUUCCUUUUUUUUCUCCAAGGAGUUCAGCUAGGAUUCAAACAUAGGCUGUAGUGUUGUAAUCAUCUACACCUCAACCAAUUAAGCCCAAGCUCCUUCAUCCUUACAUUUCUUAUGAUGAAGAAUAGGUGUGCGACUUGGACAUUGUGCUACAGUCAGUACCCUAAAAGCUGAACCAAGAACCCAAACUUGAUGCGGGUUUUGAAUCUUGACAUUAUGAUGUGGCAUAAUUUCAAGGUCACUCAGCUUUCUUCAAUCUA